rnacentral:rRNA from 1 species
GGUUCUCGGGGCUGUCGCUGACCUUUCAACGGGUCGUGCACGCCCUGGGCACUCUCACACAUCCAUCUCACCCCUUUGUGCAUCACCGCGUGGGUCCUCCUUUGCAAGAGGGCUCGCGUUUUCACACAAAACUCGAUACAGUGUAGAAUGUUAUCUUUUGCGGUCACACGCAAUCAAUACAACUUUCAACAACGGAUCUCUUGGCUCUCGCAUCGAUGAAGAACGCAGCGAAAUGCGAUACGUAAUGUGAAUUGCAGAAUUCAGUGAAUCAUCGAAUCUUUGAACGCACCUUGCGCCCCUUGGCAUUCCGAGGGGCACACCCGUUUGAGUGUCGUGAAAUCAUCAAACACCUUUUUCUGUUUACUGAAAAGGGUGUUUGGACUUGGAGGUUCAAUGCUCGCUUUUCAAAAAAGUGAAAAGCGAGCUCCUCUCAAAUGAAUUAGUGGGGUUCUCUUUGCCGAUCCUCGACGUGAUAAGAUGUUUCUACGUUUUGGAUUUGGCACCGACGCCUGCUUCUAACUGUCCCCACGGACAACGAUGGUGCUCUGGUCGCCACCGUCUACAUUGGCGGAGGAGGGCUGGACCCACAAAAGAAAACCUUGACCUCAAAUCGGGUGAGACUACCCGCUGAACUU